UACUUUCAUUUUCUCAGUUAUCCUCCCCUCCCCUCUGCAGCAAAAGAGAAAGAAGAAUCAGCAGUCGAGAGGAAGACGAGCUGAGCUGCACACUUAGAACCGCAGAUAGAGAAACACACACAGACCUUAAAUCUAACUCGGGCUACAGGGCUACAGUGUCUAAUAUCAAGAAUGGCAAAUAUUGUAGAUGCAGUCAGGGGAUUAUUUACAACCAAACCUGCAACCUGCAAAAGAGAAAGAAGAAACAGCAGUCGAGAGGAAGACGAGCUGAGCUGCAAACUUAGAACAGCAGACAGAGAAACACACACAGACCUUAAAUCUCACUCGGAGCUUCACACAAGGGCUACAGUAUCCAUCCAUCCAUCCAUCCAUCCAUCCAUCCAUCCAUCCAUCCAUCCA